CGGCACGGGUGAGUAACACGUAUCCAACCUGCCGUCUACUCUUGGCCAGCCUUCUGAAAGGAAGAUUAAUCCAGGAUGGCAUCAUGAGUUCACAUGUCCGCAUGAUUAAAGGUAUUUUCCGGUAGACGAUGGGGAUGCGUUCCAUUAGAUAGUAGGCGGGGUAACGGCCCACCUAGUCAACGAUGGAUAGGGGUUCUGAGAGGAAGGUCCCCCACAUUGGGACUGAGACACGGUCCAA
rnacentral:rRNA from 1 species